UACAGAGGGUGCUAGCGUUGUUCGGAAUCAUUGGGCGUAAAGGGCGUGUAGGCGGUUUGUUAAGUCAUGUGUGAAAUCCCUCGGCUCAACCGGGGAACGACGCAUGAAACUGGCAAGCUAGAGUACCAAAGAGGGGGGUGGAAUUCCCGGUGUAGCGGUGAAAUGCGUAGAUAUCGGGAGGAAGACCAGUGGCGAAGGCGAGUUUCUGGACAGUUACUGACGCUGAGGCACGAAGGCCAGGGGAGCAAACGGG
rnacentral:rRNA from 1 species